rnacentral:rRNA from 1 species
GAUGAACGCUGGCGGCGUGCCUAAUACAUGCAAGUCGAGCGAACAGACGAGGAGCUUGCUCCUCUGACGUUAGCGGCGGACGGGUGAGUAACACGUGGAUAACCUACCUAUAAGACUGGGAUAACUUCGGGAAACCGGAGCUAAUACCGGAUAAUAUAUUGAACCGCAUGGUUCAAUAGUGAAGGACGGUUUUGCUGUCACUUAUAGAUGGAUCCGCGCCGCAUUAGCUAGUUGGUAAGGUAACGGCUUACCAAGGCGACGAUGCGUAGCCGACCUGAGAGGGUGAUCGGCCACACUGGAACUGAGACACGGUCCAGACUCCUACGGGAGGCAGCAGUAGGGAAUCUUCCGCAAUGGGCGAAAGCUUGACGGAGCAACGCCGCGUGAGUGAUGAAGGUCUUCGGAUCGUAAAACUCUGUUAUUAGGGAAGAACAAAUGUGUAAGUAACUAUGCACGUCUUGACGGUACCUAAUCAGAAAGCCACGGCUAACUACGUGC